ensembl:lncRNA SNHG14 small nucleolar RNA host gene 14
GGAUCGAUGAUGAGUCCCCUAUAAAAACAUUCCUUGGAAAAGCUGAACAAAAUGAGUGAGAACUCAUAACGUCAUUCUCAUCGGAACUGAGGUCCAGCAUGUUGCUUCCUCUGGGGCCUGUAGGAGUGAGGGACAACUUCCACUGAUUCCCAUAGGUUCCACCACCCAGGGCAUCCACAGACAAAAGUCUCGUGUCACAGGUACGCCUCACCUGAGAGGGCGGCUAGAGACAGUGUCUGCUCAGGACAUCAGAUGUCCCGUGAGGAGGAGUGUGUACUCACACCAGGGGAGUUGACUGAGGCAGUUGCUGUGGGAGGUGUGGUAACUGCUGGAAGGAAGAUGCUCAAUUCUUCUGAGCAACGAAGGCCACACGGAGUCCUGGAUUCUGUGUGGCCUGGCAUCCAUGGCGCACUGUGUGCUGGCAGGUGGCUCAGGACGGUAAGCAUUUCUCUGCCCAGUAUGCUGAAUGAGGGUGUCUUUCGGAUUUCCAAGACCCGCAAGGAGCAGUUUCUCAGCUAACCACUAAUGGCAUGGCGAGUUCCUCUCCUAGAGUGGAUAGUCUGUGCUCAUUGCUCAGUGGCAUCGCUCUAGUGGGGCCGAAGGUCUUUAAGGUCAUUGGCUCACCCACUGCCCAGCCUGUGGUGUCAAAUAUCCUGCCCCUUGCCCCUUCAAAUGUGCUUGGAUCGAUGAUGAGUCCCCAAAAAAAACAUUCCUUGGAAAAGCUGAACAAAAUGAGUGAAAACUCAUACCGUCAUUCUCAUCGGAACUGAGGUCCAGCACGUUGCCUUCCCCGGGGACUGUAGGAGUGAGGGACAACUUCCACUGAUUCCCAUAGGUUCCACCACCCAAGGCAUCCACAGCCAAAGUCUCCCAUCAAAUGCUCAUUAGGAACAUUCCCUUUUUGUGAGGUACACAGGUAGGAGAGUCCUGGGGGGAACGGCUGCUCUGUGAUGGCCUGGUGGCCAUGGAAGCAGACAGAAAUAUCGCAGGCCUAGGGUAGUGUGCGCCUGAUCUUGGCUUGGUGAGCUCCUAGGAAGGGAGACGCGGACCUCGUGGCAGGCGUCUCUGAGCAGAGGACUGAGUCCUUGUUUUCUUGCCGGGGAGAGCACAAGGCCCAGGCCUCAGGCAGAUGUUGGUCCUGAUUUUUGAUUAGCUGAGGACAAGGGAGUGCCAAGGGUGAUGGGGGACAGUGUAUAACAAAGGGUGUUGUGACAGAGAGCCAAAGCCUCUUUGGCCCUCCACCCAGCAUCCAGUCAUGGAGGCCCCCCAGCAGGGAUUUCUUCAUCCCCUGAGCCGUGAGAUGCCCCUGGUGCUAUGGUGGAAGCCUGGACUGGAAGUGGGCUCCACUGUUGGGCACAUCUUCCUGGAAGUCGUCUCUUGGCCCGCCAUUGCCGAGCGGCCACACCUGCUGCAGCUCGUGUGAGCAAAUAUGGCUCUGGAUCCUCUUUCCUGCUUUGAAAGCAGCUUCCAUCCUGAAGGCGUCCAGAGGGGGCAGUUAUCAUGGGACACCCGCCAUAUGCUGGCAAGGAAGAUGGUCAGUUCUUCUGAGCCACAAAGGCCCCCAACAUCCUGGAGUUGGUGUUGCCUAGCAUCCACGGUGCGCCCCCUGCUGGUGGAUGGCUCAGGAUGGUAAGCAUUCCUCCGCCGCACAUGCUGAGUGGGGGUGGGAUUUCCAAGACCUGCAAGGAGCUGUUUCUCAGCAGGCCACUGAUGGCAUGGCGAGUUCCACUCCUAAAGUGAACGGUCUGUGCCCAUUGUUCAGUGGUGCAGCUCUGGCUUCCCCAGCGUGCGGAGGGUUUUUAAGGUCAUCGGCUUGCCCACUGCCCAGCCUGUGGUGUCAAAUAUCCUGCCCCUUCAAAUGUGCUUGGAUCGAUGAUGAGUCCCCCAUAAAAACAUUCCUUGGAAAAGCUGAACAAAAUGAGUGAGAACUCAUACCGUCGUUCUCAUCGGAACUGAGGUCCAGCACAUUGCCUCCCCCGGGGACUGUAGGAGCGAGGGACAACUUCCACUGGUUCCCAGAGGUUCUACCACUCAGGGCGUCCAUGGAUGAAAGUCUCACAUCACAGGCACAAUAGAAAUAUUCCCUCUGUGUGAGGGGCAGUUGCCGUGGGAGGCCCGCUGCCUGCUGGAAGGAAGAUGGUCAGUUCUUCUGAACCACAAAGGCCCUGCAGAGUCCUGGAGUCUGUGUGGCCUGGCUUCCAGGGUUCACCUCAUGCUGGUGGAUUGCUCAGGAUGGGUGCCGAAGGUCUUUAAGGUCGUCAGCUCACCUACUGCCCAGCCUGUGGUGUCAAAUGUCCUGCCUCUUCAAAUGUGUUUGGAUCGAUGAUGAGUCCCCCCAAAAAAACAUUCCUUGGAAAAGCUGAACAAAAUGAGUGAAAACUCAUACCGUCGUUCUCAGCGGAACUGAGGUCCAGCGCGUUGCCUCCAGCAGGGACUGUUGGAGUGAGGGAGAGCUUCCACUAGUCCCUAUAGGUUCCACCACCCAGGGCAUCCGCAGGGACAGUUGCCGUGGGAGGUCCGCUGCCUGCUGUCAAGGAAGAUGGUCGAUGCUUCUGAGAAACAGGCCCUGCGGGUUCCUGGAUUUGGUGUGGCCUGGCAUCCACGGUGCACCCCGUGCUGGCGGGUGGCCCAGGACGGGGCAGUUGCCUUGAGAGGCCCACCGCCUGCUGGCAUGACAGAUGGUCAGUUCUUCCGAGCAGUGGAAUCUCCAUGGAGUCGUGGAGUCGGUGUGGCCUCGCAUCCACAGUGCACCCUGUGCUGGUGGAUGGCUCAGGACAGGGCAGUUGCCGUGGGAGGCCUGCCGUCUGCUGAAAGGAAGAUGGUUGAUGCUUCUGAGCAAUGAAGGCCCCAUGGAGUCCUGGAUUCGGUGUGGCCUUGCAUCCGUGGUGCACCCCGUGCUGGUGGAUGGCUCAGGACGGUAAGCAUUCCUCUGCCCCGCAUGAUGACUGAGGGUGUCUUUAGGAUUUCUGAGACCCACAAGGAGCAGUUCUUCAGCAGGCCAUUAAGGGCAUGGCUGUGGUCUUUAAAGUCAUUGGCUCACCCACUGCCCAGCCUGUGGUGUCAAAUGUCCUGCCUCUUCAAAUGUGCUUGGAUCGAUGAUGAGUCCUCCAAAAAAACAUUCCUUGGAAAAGCUGAACAAAAUGAGUGAGAACUCAUACCGUCGUUCUCAUCGGAACUGAGGUCCAG